ACCUGAGUGGCUCAGUUGGUUGAGCCUCUGACUUCGGAUCAGGUCAUGAUCUCGCGGUUCGUGAGUUCGAGUCCCGCGUUGGGCU
rnacentral:tRNA from 1 species